rnacentral:rRNA from 1 species
GAUGAACGCUGGCGGCGUGCCUAAUACAUGCAAGUCGAGCGAACGGACGAGAAGCUUGCUUCUCUGAUGUUAGCGGCGGACGGGUGAGUAACACGUGGAUAACCUGCCUAUAAGACUGGGAUAACUACGGGAAACCGGGGCUAAUACCGGAUAAUAUUUUGAACCGCAUGGUUCCAAAGUGAAAGACGGUCUUGCUGUCACUUAUAGCUGGAUCCGCGCUGCAUUCGCUAGUUGGUAAGGUAACGGCUUACCAAGGCAACGAUGCAUAGCCGACCUGAGAGGGUGAUCGGCCACACUGGAACUGAGACACGGCCCAGACUCCUACGGGAGGCAGCGGUAGGGAAUCUUCCGCAAGGGGCGAAAGCCUGACGGAGCAACGCCGCGUGAGUGAUGAAGGUCUUCGGAUCGUAAAACUCUGUUAUUAGGGAAGAACAAAUGCGUAAGUAACUGUGCACAUCUUGACGGUACCUAAUCAGAAAGCCACGGCUAACUCCGUG